GACGAACGCUGGCGGCGUGCUUAACACAUGCAAGUCGAACGGAAAGGCCCUGCUUUUGUGGGGUGCUCGAGUGGCGAACGGGUGAGUAACACGUGAGUAACCUGCCCUUGACUUUGGGAUAACUUCAGGAAACUGGGGCUAAUACCGGAUAGGAGCUCCUGCUGCAUGGUGGGGGUUGGAAAGUUUCGGCGGUUGGGGAUGGACUCGCGGCUUAUCAGCUUGUUGGUGGGGUAGUGGCUUACCAAGGCUUUGACGGGUAGCCGGCCUGAGAGGGUGACCGGCCACAUUGGGACUGAGAUACGGCCCAGCCUCCUACGGGAGGCAGCAGUGGGGAAUAUUGCACAAUGGGCGGAAGCCUGAUGCAGCAACGCCGCGUGCGGGAUGACGGCCUUCGGGUUGUAAACCGCUUUCGCCUGUGACGAAGCGUGAGUGACGGUAAUGGGUAAAGAAGCACCGGCUAACAACGUGCCAGCAGCCGCGGUGAUACGUAGGGUGCGAGCGUUGUCCGGAUUUAUUGGGCGUAAAGGGCUCGUAGGUGGUUGAUCGCGUCGGAAGUGUAAUCUUGGGGCUUAACCCUGAGCGUGCUUUCGAUACGGGUUGACUUGAGGAAGGUAGGGGAGAAUGGAAUUCCUGGUGGAGCGGUGGAAUGCGCAGAUAUCAGGAGGAACACCAGUGGCGAAGGCGGUUCUCUGGGCCUUUCCUGACGCUGAGGAGCGAAAGCGUGGGGAGCGAACAGGCUUAGAUACCCUGGUAGUCCACGCUGUAAACGGUGGGUACUAGGUGUGGGGUCCAUUCCACGGGUUCCGUGCCGUAGCUAACGCUUUAAGUACCCCGCCUGGGGAGUACGGCCGCAAGGCUAAAACUCAAAGGAAUUGACGGGGCCCCGCACAAGCGGCGGAGCAUGCGGAUUAAUUCGAUGCAACGCGUAGAACCUUACCUGGGUUUGACAUGGAUCGGGAGCGCUCAGAGAUGGGUGUGCCUCUUUUGGGGUCGGUUCACAGGUGGUGCAUGGCUGUCGUCAGCUCGUGUCGUGAGAUGUUGGGUUAAGUCCCGCAACGAGCGCAACCCUUGUUCACUGUUGCCAGCACGUUAUGGUGGGGACUCAGUGGAGACCGCCGGGGUCAACUCGGAGGAAGGUGGGGAUGACGUCAAGUCAUCAUGCCCCUUAUGUCCAGGGCUUCACGCAUGCUACAAUGGCUGGUACAGAGAGUGGCGAGCCUGUGAGGGUGAGCGAAUCUCGGAAAGCCGGUCUCAGUUCGGAUUGGGGUCUGCAACUCGACCUCAUGAAGUCGGAAUCGCUAGUAAUCGCAGAUCAGCAACGCUGCCGUGAAUACGUUCCCGGG
rnacentral:rRNA from 1 species